ACCGCAUUCGUCUAGUGGUUUAGGAUACCAGGUUUUCAUCUCACUUUGUGAUAAUUCCCUGGGGGCCGGAGUUCGAACCUCCGAUGCGGUG